GAUGAAGAACGUAGCGAAAUGCGAUACUUGGUGUGAAUUGCAGAAUCCCGUGAACCAUCGAGUCUUUGAACGCAAGUUGCGCCCGAAGCCAUCAGGUUGAGGGCACGUCUGCCUGGGCGUCACAUAUCGUUGCCCAAUGCCUAUUGCAGUGCAAUAGGAAUUUCUAGGGCGAAUGAUGGCUUCCCGUGAGCGUUGUUGCCUCGCGGUUGGUUGAAAAUCGAGUCCUUGGUAGGGUGUGCCAUGGUAGAUGGUGGUCGAGUUAGAACGAUACCGAUCAUGUGCAUGCUCCCCAAAAUAUGGCCUCUAUGACCCACACGCGUCUUUUGACGCUCAUGACGAGACCUCAGGUCAGGCGGGGCUACCCGCUGAAUUUAAGCAUAUCAGUAAGCGGAGGA
rnacentral:misc_RNA from 1 species